rnacentral:rRNA from 1 species
UACGGAGGGUGCAAGCGUUACUCGGAAUCACUGGGCGUAAAGGACGCGUAGGCGGAUUAUCAAGUCUCUUGUGAAAUCUAGUGGCUUAACCACUAAACUGCUUGGGAAACUGAUAAUCUAGAGUAAGGGAGAGGCAGAUGGAAUUCUUGGUGUAGGGGUAAAAUCCGUAGAGAUCAAGAAGAAUACUUAUUGCGAAGGCGAUCUGCUAGAACUUAACUGACGCUAAUGCGUGAAAGCGUGGGGAGCAAACAGG